rnacentral:rRNA from 1 species
UGGGUAACCUGCCUCAAAGAGGGGAAUAGCCUCCCGAAAGGGAGAUUAAUACCGCAUAAUAUGUUUAGGUCGCAUGACUUUAACAUCAAAGGAUUUUCUUUUAAGAAAUUCCACUUUGAGAUGGACCCGCGGCGCAUUAGCUAGUUGGUGAGGUAACGGCUCACCAAGGCAACGAUGCGUAGCCGACCUGAGAGGGUNAUCCGGCCACAUUGGAACUGAGACACGGUCCAGCUCCGUAGGAG